GUUCCCUUGUCUAUACCCAACUGUGGCAGUACCUGCGGACAGUCUCAAACGACUUUGCGGAUCAUUCAUUCUAUUCUGUUUCCUUCUUAUCUCAGUCGUCGUCAAUUUUGACCUUCACAAGCUUUUGGUUGGACUCGAAUUGCUUGAGCAUGUGUCGGCCUGUGUGUGUUGUGAUUAUCUUGUGUUGCAAGGCCAUGCCUUAGUCACCUGAAAGGGUGACCCUUGUACAGACCAUACUCUCCCUACAGUUUUCCAGUCUUCAUCAUUGCAUUUUGAUGCCCUCUUCAGCAGAGCUAUAAUCAUAUCUUGCUCACUCCAUUACAUGGUUAUAACUGUUGACGGGUGAGAUGGAUAUUGGGAACUUAACCCUAACCUAGUCGGUUUCGAGUUUCGCGGUUUUGCAUGGCGGAGCUACUGAUCAGUCGAUUGAUUCCUGGGGGAAUUGAACGAUGAAAGGUACCCGAUGUCCAGAGCUCUUGAUGGGCGAUAUAAGACGGUUUACUAUGCGUUUUAAGUUCCACUAUCGGACACGCGUCGGUUUACCAAUGCUGGGCGUUACAUGCGGACUAUUAUGGAUGGUUUGUCAAUGCUUGAGCGCUUCGGAAUCUUGGGGAGAUAGUCGGCGGAACAUGUCGGACACCUCGUCGAAAAGGUUGUCUUUGGGAUCUUUUUGAAUGCAGCGCGUGGGAUGCUGGAGGUGCACCGUCAAUAUGCAGGCAGAAUCCAUCAUCACGGUUCAUUGACCGUCUUGAACGCAACAAUACCCGUCCUUCGACGCGCCUACAAACAAUCACGAAGUUAGUAUGUCGGAGGCAAUCCACUCGUCGGAAUCAAUUUGAUAUUUUGCUUGCGCCCAGGUGCUUCGCGAAAGUAUCAAAUUGUAGCGAGAUUCCUCUGCACUGCUGGACUGCAUGGUUUUCGAUUGCGUUGCUCUUUGAGUCACACAAUCAAACAGCUCGGCUUGUUGUCUUGUUCCGGUGUAUGAUCAAUUGUCGUGUUGAUGAUCCUGCUCAUGCGAUGGUGGCAGCCUCGUUCCCUCUGCCAGCGAUUUCGCCAUCCCGUACUGUUCCCUACCCCGGCGAGCCUGGGCAGCCCGUACCUACUAUCCAACUCCUCGUCCUUGGCGAUCACCCCUAUUUGGGAGUCUUGAAAACCUCGAAUCACGGCAACAGCCACUGAUUCGCACUUCAUUCGAAGGUCCAGUCGACCGUGUUAACCAUCUCUUUGCAAUGUAGAUUGUAAAUAGAUUGAUGGGCGCCGACACUGGCGACGGGGUCUUUUCCCCGUCGCCCCUCCCUUCGGGGAGAAGGAAGCGAUUUUUGCAGAUGUUCUUUGUUCGCUUCUUCAAUGCCCUCCGUGGUCUACUUGACAUGGAGAGGAAACAAAAACCUGUCUCAGAGAGUACUGUACUACACACAAGGUUUUGGUCUUGGGCUUAUAUGAUUAUACGCUCAUAUGGACGGCAUAUUCGAGAGCAUUUUGAGAGAUGGAAAGCUUUGGCCAUUAUUGGAUUGGGGCCAAGGGGAAACCUGAAAUAUCUUGAAUUCCGCGAAGGGCGUGAGGCUUUUCAACGGUGCAAGCUGCGUCUAUGAGCGUCGACUGCUGCUAUGUCGUGCGACAUCCAUGCCUGAGCUUCUCACUUUACAUCUACCAGCCAGUGGCCAUCAUUAUUCCUUGCAUGCCAGCAAUUGCUCUCAUUGAAGCAUAUCAGGCCACUCUCCUCUCGAUUGCGAGUCCUUUUGUCCACUAAGUGAUUGUGCAGCCUCUUCAGUGAAAUCUGCUCUUCCGCGCUCGUUUACGGCGGAGGUAUGUGUGGGACCUCACGAAGGGUGGGGAUCAAAGCUCAGGCUUAUCUGCUAGACCUCUUUGUCGUUCACACCUGCGUUGGCGGAACUCUCUGAAGAAUUGGCUCUCGGUUACGGACAACCUGGAUUCUCAACGAAGAGAAUGCGCCUGAGCUUCGGUGGUGUGUGGAGCAAGUGCGCGGGCUUCAGGAUUUGACUCAUUGUGCAGAGAAAUGAAGGGGGUCUCAAGCAGGGGAGCCGGACGUCUACAGGUCGAUUACAGCUUGUGGACCGCCGCUUCCUUUCGGGGAAGCGGCCCUUAUUUUUUUUU
rnacentral:telomerase_RNA from 1 species